rnacentral:rRNA from 1 species
GAUGAACGUUAGCGGGAGGCUUAAUACAUGCAAGUCGAGCGGUAAGUUUUUAUAGCAAUAUGAAGACCUAGAGCGGCGCACGGGUGAGUAACGCGUACACGACCUGGCCUAAACUGGGGGAUAGCCUUGGGAAACUGAGAGUAAUCCCGCAUGUGAUUAUGUUACUGAUGGUGAUAUAAUUAAAGCUUCGGCGGUUUAGGAUGGGUGUGCGUCUGAUUAGCUAGUUGGUAGUGUAACGGACUACCAAGGCGAUGAUCAGUAGGGGGCGUGAGAGCGUGACCCCCCACACGGGUACUGAGACACGGACCCGACUCCUACGGGAGGCAGCAGUAAGGAAUAUUGGUCAAUGCCCGGAAGGGUGAACCAGCCAUCCCGCGUGAAGGAUGAAGGGGCUCUGCCUUGUAAACUUCUUUUGUAUGGGGCGAAAAAAGGGGAUUUAUCCUCGACUGACGGUACCAUAAGAAUAAGCACCGGCUAACUCCGUGCCAGCAGCCGCGGUAAAGUAGUCGUG